UACGGGGGGAGCAAGCGUUGUUCGGAUUUACUGGGCGUAAAGGGCGCGUAGGCGGCCACCUCAGGUCGACUGUGAAAUCUCCGGGCUUAACCCGGAACGGUCAGCCGAUACUGCGGGGCUAGAGUGCAGAAGGGGCAACUGGAAUUCUCGGUGUAGCGGUGAAAUGCGUAGAUAUCGAGAGGAACACCUGCGGCGAAGGCGGGUUGCUGGGCUGACACUGACGCUGAUGUGCGAAAGCUAGGGGAGCGAACGGG
rnacentral:rRNA from 1 species